rnacentral:rRNA from 1 species
GACGAACGCUGGCGGCGUGCUUAACACAUGCAAGUCGAACGGAAAGGCCCUGCUUUUGUGGGGUGCUCGAGUGGCGAACGGGUGAGUAACACGUGAGUAACCUGCCCUUGACUUUGGGAUAACUUCAGGAAACUGGGGCUAAUACCGGAUAGGAGCUCCUGCUGCAUGGUGGGGGUUGGAAAGUUUCGGCGGUUGGGGAUGGACUCGCGGCUUAUCAGCUUGUUGGUGGGGUAGUGGCUUACCAAGGCUUUGACGGGUAGCCGGCCUGAGAGGGUGACCGGCCACAGUGGGACUGAGAUACGGCCCAGACUCCUACGGGAGGCAGCAGUGGGGAAUAGUGCACAAUGGGCGGAAGCCUGAUGCAGCAACGCCGCGUGCGGGAUGACGGCCUUCGGGUUGAAAGCCGCUUUCGCCUGUAACGAAGCGUGAGUGACGGUAAUGGGUAAAGAAGCACCGGCUAACUACGUG